AUCUAUAUGACCCGGCAUAUUAUUGAGAAAUAUAUAGUUGCAGGUGCAGCAACAGAGGUGAACAUAUCUCACCGAACGCGGCAAGAAAUAUUGACUACAGUUGAUCUAGCACACCCUGAUCUCUUUAAUAAUGCAAUAAAUGAGGUGCUGCAGCUAAUGAAAAUGAAUUUAGCAAAAGAUUACUGGACAUCCAUGUUUUUCAUCAAAUUCAAAGAAGAAGCCAAUAUGAGAUCCAAUGACCAUGACCUGGAACAGAUGGCAGGUUGGAACUUCUCUCCUAGAUUGAGUUCUGUACAUGGCACUGAUGAUCCAUUCCAUCAAGAACAUCUUGUGAAGGGCAUUGAUUCAGACACAAAAAGCCAAGAAUUGUGAAUAUUGUGCUGGUUUACUGCAAAGUUGAUUCAGGGAUUGAGCAUGGCAUACCAAGUGUAACAAGUGAUGCAUAAUGAACCCUCAACAUAAGAUUCAAAGUAUGAUGAAAUGAAAACAAAAGAAGUGAAAAAGGAUGAAUAGAGAGAAGAAGGAGGUGAACUGCCUAUUGAGGUGGGAAAUUAAUGCAUCUACUACAUUUAUACAGACAUGACCAUGUUAAGUGUCAUUGCUCAAUGUUAUACAGGCAAAAAUGUUCAUUUUGUUAGUGGGGCCGGCCUCAGCAUGACCACAUUGAUUUAAUCUGAACAGUGACACUUGAAAGUAAAGUAACCCAUCUCCCCAAUUUACUUCCAGGAUUUUCAUGUAGUCCAGUAGAAAGUUAUUAGAUAGAUGCAUGGACUCUGGUGGCAGACAAGUCUUGUUUUGAUUAGACAUACGUUCAUGUUAAAUACUAUUUACUCUUUUGGAGGGAAAGUGCC
rnacentral:misc_RNA from 1 species